rnacentral:tRNA from 1 species
GGGUGCGUAGCUCAAUUGGUGGAGCUCCGGUCUCCAAAACCGGGGGUUGCAGGUUCGAGCCCUGCCGCACCUGCCA